rnacentral:rRNA from 1 species
CACGUAGUUAGCCGGGGCUUCUUAGUCAGGUACCGUCAUCUUCUUCCCUGCUGAUAGAGCUUUACAUACCGAAAUACUUCUUCACUCACGCGGCGUCGCUGCAUCAGGGUUCCCCCCAUUGUGCAAUAUUCCCCACUGCUGCCUCCCGUAGGAGUUUGGGCCGUGUCUCAGCCCCAAUGUGGCCGGUCGCCCUCUCAGGCCGGCUACUGAUCGUCGCCUUGGUGGGCCGCUGCCCCGCCAACUAGCUAAUCAGGCGCGGAUCCAUCUUAUACCACCGGAGUUUUUCACACUGCGCCAUGCGGCGCCGUGCGCUUAUGCGGUAUUAGCAGCCAUUUCUGGCUGUUAUCCCCCAGUAUAAGGCAGGUUAUCCACGUGUUACUCACCCGUCCGCCGCUAAGACAAUCCUGAUUCCAUCCGAAAACUUCAUCAAGACCGCUCCGCUCGACUUGCAUGUGUUAGGCACGCCGCCAGCGUUCAUCCUGAGCCA